rnacentral:sRNA from 1 species
AUCCCUUGGUCUGGGUGAAAUCUCACCUAGAUACUCGUUAACUCCAGCCGACGGCAAGAAGAAAUCCACGUUGCCAUGUGGAUUUAGAGCAGAAAAUCGUCGUUCGCCUCGAGAUCCUUGGAGUUUCUCUUCGCCAUUAGGACCAGUCAUCUGUAAUAUCUCCUUAAUCUUCAAAGCUUUGAUGCCUAAGGGUCAAUUGCUCACCUCGAUCCCACUCGGGAGUCGGAAGAUACCGGGCCUAUUACCGGACCUUAUAUCAUUGCCCCCACCCCCUCCAAGUAUGGCGGGUAUAUAUCUUGAGAUAGAACUAAUGCUAUCUGCGACAGGAGCAUAAAAGGGAGCUGUCAUGGACAUUAUGGCGAGAGGGGGCCUUUGAGAUGCUAAUUGGGAGUCGACAGCUGCAUUCAGUUGAUAGCUACAAAAUAAACGAGUGCGUUUAGCAAUGGAAAGGCGAGACCAUGUGAAGUGACCGAAACAGUACAUACGCGAUAGGGUCCGUAUGGUAGAAGACAUUGUAAAGGCUGAGAAGGAGUUAGUAUAAAAUAAGCAAGAGGUUGACGAUGACGCACGAAUCUAUAG